rnacentral:rRNA from 1 species
CAAUAGCGUAUAUUAAAGUUGUUGCGGUUAAAAGCUCGUAGUUGGAUCUCGGCGGGCAGGGGUGGUUCGCUCUUCAGCGCUACUGCCCCGCCUUUGUCCCGUCGUGAUUGGCGGAGGUUUCGGGGUGCUCUUCGUUGAGUGACUCGGAGCGCCGUCAGGUUUACUUUGAAAAAUUAAGAGUGCUCAAAGCAGGCUUUUCACGCUUGAAUAUUCGUGCAUGGAAUAAUGGAAUAGGAACUCGUUUCUAUUUUGUUGGUUUUCGGUAAAUCGAGUUAAUGAUUAACAGGGACAAUUGGGGGCGAUUAGUAUUCAGACGACAGAGGUGAAAUUCUUGGACCGUCUGAAGACUGACUACUGCGAAAG